AUUGAACGCUGGCGGCAUGCUUUACACAUGCAAGUCGAACGGCAGCGCGGGGCAACCUGGCGGCGAGUGGCGAACGGGUGAGUAAUACAUCGGAACGUACCCAGAAGUGGGGGAUAACGUGGCGAAAGUUACGCUAAUACCGCAUACGUUCUACGGAAGAAAGUGGGGGACCUUCGGGCCUCAUGCUUUUGGAGCGGCCGAUGUCUGAUUAGCUAGUUGGUGAGGUAAAGGCUCACCAAGGCGACGAUCAGUAGCUGGUCUGAGAGGACGACCAGCCACACUGGGACUGGGACACGGCCCAGACUCCUACGGGAGGUAGCAGUGGGGAAUUUUGGACAAUGGGCGCAAGCCUGAUCCAGCAAUGCCGCGUGAGUGAAGAAGGCCUUCGGGUUGUAAAGCUCUUUUGUCAGGGAAGAAACGGCUGGGGUUAAUACCUUCGGCUAAUGACGGUACCUGAAGAAUAAGCACCGGCUAACUACGUGCCAGCCGCCGCAGUAA
rnacentral:rRNA from 1 species